CCUACGGGAGGCAGCAGUGGGGAAUAUUGCUCAAUGGGCGAAAGCCUGAAGCAGCAACGCCGCGUGGGGGAUGAAGGUCUUCGGAUUGUAAACCCCUUUCGACCGGAACGAAUCCCCUCCUGGUGAACAAUCAGGAGGAUCGACGGUACCGGGAGAAGAAGCCACGGCUAACUCUGUGCCAGCAGCCGCGGUAAGACAGAGGUGGCAAGCGUUGUUCGGAUUUACUGGGCGUAAAGCGCACGCAGGCGGUUUGGUAAGUCAGAGGUAAAAGCCCACGGCUUAACCGUGGAAUUGCCUUUGAUACUGCCUUUCUCGAGGGCAGGAGGGGGAAGCGAAAUUCCCAGUGUAGAGGUGAAAUGCGUAGAGAUCGGGAGGAACACCCGUUGCGUAGGCGGCGCCCGGGCCGACACCUGACGCUGAAGCGCGAAAGCGUGGGGAGCGAACGGGAUUAGAUCCCCUUGUAGU
rnacentral:rRNA from 1 species